rnacentral:rRNA from 1 species
UACGUAGGGUGCAAGCGUUGUCCGGAAUUAUUGGGCGUAAAGAGCUCGUAGGCGGUUUGUCGCGUCUGCUGUGAAAACUCAGGGCUUAACCCUGAGCCUGCAGUGGGUACGGGCAGACUAGAGUGUGGUAGGGGAGAUCGGAAUUCCUGGUGUAGCGGUGGAAUGCGCAGAUAUCAGGAGGAACACCGGUGGCGAAGGCGGAUCUCUGGGCCAUAACUGACGCUGAGGAGCGAAAGCAUGGGGGAGCGAACAGG